rnacentral:lncRNA from 1 species
CCUCCAUCGUUCACCAGGAGUCUCCUGUCAUUUUGGCAGGAGACCUCGAGUGCAGGACUUGCUGUCCUGUAGCUUUCCUGAGGCUCCUCUGUUACAGGUGCCUGCAAGGCACGACUGCAGCACUCGCUGACUCGGGCCUUUGCUGAGGCAUCUGUCUCAAAUGUGCCCUUGAGGUCAGACAGCAGGAUGGCAGGCAGACUGCUCAGCCUGUUCAAGAGGCUUCGGGGCAAGAAAAGCAAAGGCCCUGCAGCUGCCCCAGCGCAGCAGCCUGCACAGCUGCAGCAGUUGCAGCCACUGCAGGACGGUGAGUGGUGGAGCUGGGCCGCAGGGCCAGUGCCUGCAGCCAUCCUGGCCCCAUCCCAUCCCAUCCCAUCCCAUCCCAUCCCAUCCCAUCCCAUCCCAUCCCAUCCCAUCCCAUCCCAUCCCAUCCCAUCCCUGCGGACAUGCCCAUGGAUGGGAUGGGACAGGGGCCGGGGCUGCCCCCACCGAUGGCCGUGCUCCAUCUCCUGGGCUCCCGGGGGGCUGUCCCUGCCUGGGGAGCGCAGGGCUGGGCUGUGUUCUCCGGCCUCUCCUGCAGCCCCUCAGCUCUGGUUGAGCUCUCUCUUUGCCAGAUGCGGCCAAGGACCAGACUCAAGAGCAGGAACCCACCCGUGGCCACUUCCACCGAGCAGCGCAGGUACCUGCGGCCAUCCCCACUUGGGCCAGGCCUGCUGGCACUGCCCAGCCGAACCCCGCGCUUGGAGCAGACCAUGGAACGUCCCUCUCUUCCCGCCUGUCCUUCUGCUGCAGACACUGCGGAGGUUCCUGUGCCUUCAGCACAAAAACACCAGCGGCCCCACACCUGAGGGCAUGGCCCAGCCUGAAUCCAGGCCCAGUGAGCUGCCGGCAGAGGCUGCUGCCAGCACAGUGUCGUUUGACCUGGCCACCAGCUCUGACUGGGAAAUGGAUGAGGGCUGGGAGGAGGCUGACAUGGCCCUGACAGAGGGCAUGGCAACCACCAACAUCAUCC